GAUGAAGAACGCAGCGAAAUGCGAUAAGUAGUGUGAAUUGCAGAAUUCAGUGAAUCAUCGAAUCUUUGAACGCACAUUGCGGCCAUAGGUAUUCCUUUGGCCAUGCCUGUUCGAGCGUCAUUUACACCCUCAAGCCUAGCUUGGUGUUGGGCGUCUGUCCCGCCGUUCUCGCGCGCGGACUCGCCUCAAAGUCAUUGGCGGCGGUCGUGCCGGCCCCCUCGCGCAGCACAUUUGCGCUUCUCGGAGGCCCGGCGGAUCCGCGCUCCAGCAAGACCUUUCACGACUUGACCUCGGAUCAGGUAGGGAUACCCGCUGAACUUAAGCAUAUAAUAAGCGGACGA
rnacentral:misc_RNA from 1 species